CCCUUAGAUGUCCUGGGCCGCACGCGCGCUACAAUGACAUAUGCAGCAAGUCAUUUUUACUUCCUGACCCGUAAGGGCUUGGGUAAUCUUGGAAAUGUAUGUCGUGUUAGGGAUAGAUCUUUGCAAUUAUGGAUCUUGAACGAGGAAUUCCUAGUAAGUGCAAGUCAUCAGCUUGUACUGAUUACGUCCCUGCCCUUUGUACACACCGCCCGUCGCUCCUACCGAUUUCGAGUGGUCCGGUGAACCUUCUGGACUGCAGAUGUGUUAAGCAUCAGCGGAAAGUUAAGUAAACCUUAUCACUUAGAGGAAGGAGAAGUCGUANCA
rnacentral:rRNA from 1 species